UACGUAGGGUGCGAGCGUUAAUCGGAAUUACUGGGCGUAAAGUGUGCGCAGGCGGCCGCGCAAGUCGGGUGUGAAAUCCCUCAGCUUAACUGAGGAAGUGCGCCCGAAACUGCCGAGCUUGAGUACCGGAGAGGGUGGCGGAAUUCCCCAAAGUAGAGGUGAAAUUCGUAGAUAUGGGGAGGAACACCGGUGGCGAAGGCGGCCACCUGGACGGAUACUGACGCUGGAGACGCGAAAGCGUGGGGAGCAAACAGG
rnacentral:rRNA from 1 species